rnacentral:rRNA from 1 species
UACGGGAGGCAGCAGUGGGGAAUAUUGCACAAUGGGCGAAAGCCUGAUGCAGCUAUGCCGCGUGUAUGAAGAAGGCCUUAGGGUUGUAAAGUACUUUCAUCGGGGAGGAAAAAACAAAACUAAUAAUUUUAUUUCUUGACGUUACCCGAAAAAGAAGCACCGGCUAACUCCGUGCCAGCAGCCGCGGUAAUACGGAGGGUGCUAGCGUUAAUCAGAAUUACUGGGCGUAAAGAGCACGUAGGUGGUUUUUUUAAGUCAGAUGUGAAAUCCCUGGGCUUAACCUAGGAACUGCAUUUUGAAACUGAAAUACUAGAGUAUCGUAGAGGGAGGUAGAAUUCUAGGUGUAGCGGUGAAAUGCGUAGAUAUCUGGAGGAAUACCUGUGGCGAAAGCGGCCUCCUAAACGAAUAUUGACACUGAGGUGCGAAAGCGUGGGGAGCAAACAGGGAUUAGAUACC